rnacentral:ncRNA from 1 species
UUUUUUCUAUUUUGACUUACUCCCCGCCACGAGCGAACGAGAAUGCAGUGCUGUAGCUAACGCGUUAAGUAUCCCGCCUGGGGAGUACGUUCGCAAGAAUGAAACUCAAAGGAAUUGACGGGGGCCCGCACAAGCGGUGGAAAAAAAAUUGUAAUCCAAUAAUUGGUCUUGAUUAGGAUGAUUAACCGAGUUAUCCAAAAAAUUCUGCUUAUUCUUAAGUAAAUCAAUUGGGAGAUGCUUCUCUAGAGUGUCCCAUAUAU